AUGGAUGGGGGCACCCUGAUCCAGCAAUGCCGCGUGAGUGAAGAAGGCCUUCGGGUUGUAAAGCUCUUUUGUCAGGGAAGAAACGCACUGGGAUAAUACCCUGGUGUAAUGACGGUACCUGAAGAAUAAGCACCGGCUAACUACGUGCCAGCAGCCGCGGUAAUACGUAGGGUGCAAGCGUUAAUCGGAAUUACUGGGCGUAAAGCGUGCGCAGGCGGUUGUGCAAGACAGAUGUGAAAUCCCCGGGCUUAACCUGGGAAUUGCAUUUGUGACUGCACGGCUAGAGUGUGUCAGAGGGGGGUAGAAUUCCACGUGUAGCAGUGAAAUGCGUAGAUAUGUGGAGGAAUACCGAUGGCGAAGGCAGCCCCCUGGGAUAACACUGACGCUCAUGCACGAAAGCGUGGGGAGCAAACAGGAUUAGAUACCCUGGUAGUCCACGCCCUAAACGAUGUCUACUAGUUGUCGGGUCUUAAUUGACUUGGUAACGCAGCUAACGCGUGAAGUAGACCGCCUGGGGAGUACGGUCGCAAGAUUAAAACUCAAAUGAAAAUUGACGGA
rnacentral:rRNA from 1 species